ACGUUUAUUCAGAAAUGGCAACCGUCGGCAUGGGACGGAGGUUGCAACGGCUCAAAUGGACUACAGUUUGUGAAAGUUGGAAAAGUUCCUCGAAAAAGUUUGGUUUUCAGUGUUCACUUUCCAUGCCUCUAGCAAUUAAAGUGAUUUAGAAACAACAUGAAAAACUCAAAAUUUUUUGUUUCGUUAAACAGAUUAACGUCACGUGAUGUUGGCCAAUGGCGACUUGCAAGUUUUGUCUGCGCAUCAAGGCGACGAGAAUCAUUUGUAUCAUUGUCGAGUUCUCGUCCAGCCCAUCAGGCAAACAAUGACCAGUUUCACUGCUGGACGAAUCAUCCUCAGUCAAGAAACCAGGACAAAGAUGGCACAAGUCAUUGUAGAAACUGUGAAUCGAAUUCGAAGUUUGGCGUGGACGAGAUUCCGUUUUACCUUGUGUUUUUCAUGGAUAUCUUCCGCAUAAAAUCAAAUGGUACAAAAGUCUAACGAUUCAGUAUGGCAAUUUGUUGUUGCCACUGGUGACAUCAGCUGCCACGCAAGAGCAUCGUGAUGGAGUGCUGGGACUUGGGCGUCAUCGCCUCAUUGGUGGCACUUUACUCAUCGCUUCCGUCGUCACCGAAGAUCAGGGCCGUUACAUUUGAUUCGUCAACAGUUCCAUUGGAUUAGUCGAAUCACGUACCGAACUCAUUUUUCGUGUCAAAUUACAAGUCAGAAUCGUUGAACGUCGUCGUCGCCGCAUAGAAUGCACAGCACAUUUAAGUCACCGAUCCAGAAACGUCCGUCACCAUCACGUGUCAUUUCUCCGGCCGGUUGUCAGUUGGCUCAAAGAUGGCCAGCGCUUCUUGGUGGGUAAUAGUGGUCGUGUUUCUUCUUCAUCCGGCGACGACGGCUACACCGAUAUGGUCCAGUUAUCCAUUUCGUCCGUCCAACGUGAAGAUGAGGGAAUAUACCAAUGCCUGGCAUCCAAUGACGAAGGAGAUUGGGCCCAAGCAUCGGCCCAGCUGGCCAUUGGAGCAUUUCCUCCUCAUUUGAAAGAAACGUUCAGUCGGCAAGUUGUACAUCCGGGAAGUUCAGUCUCGUUGAAAUGUUUAGCCUCUGGCACUCCGCUGCCUCAUUUCACUUGGACGCUGGACGGGUUUCCGUUAUCGCCCGUUUCCGAACGAUAUUUCCUCGGCCAGCAGCAACAAACGGGUCACGACGAUCUUGUAGUGGCUCAUCUCAACAUAACCCACGUCCGAGUCGAAGACGGAGGCAAUUACAAAUGUGUAGCGGAGAAUCGAGUGGGUCGCGUAGAGCAUUCAGCCAAUUUGCAUAUUUACUUCAAUUCAAUGGCAGUUUGACGAUCGAUCCGUUGGAUAAGAGCAGCGACGCCGGUCUUUAUAGUUGCGAGGUGCAUGGCCAGAACGGACUCUCGGCUCGCCAGUCACUUCAACUCAACAUCCUCGCUUUGCGAAAAUAUUGACUCGGCGCCUUUUUCUUUUCCCCCUCCGCCCUGUAAACUUGCUCGGUCGCUGAGUAUACUCUUUGAUGAUGAGAAAGUCAACAGCGCUUUUCUAUCCGGUCUGGAAGCAGAAAAAAAUUUAAAAAAAGGAAGCAAUGAAAGCAAAUGAGACAGACCGACUAUAUCGAUCCAGCAGCCAGAAGCCAAUUUAAGUCUUUCCCCUUUUAUUUUUAUGAAAAACAAGAAAAAGGAGAUGAGUUAAGUGGGUAGGAAGGAUAAAUUUAGAAAUUUCUCGACGUUUUUUUUUGUUGUUGCUUCCGGUCGCCGGAAUUUUGUUUAAAAAAAAAAAAACAAAAAACACGAAAAAAAAACGAUAUUGGAUACAGAUGCGCCUCAUAUAAUGGCAAUGAGCGAUUCGGCCAUGUUGAAUGCCGGCGAGCGAUUGGCUCUUCAAUGCGCCGUAGUUAAAGGUGGAUUGCCGUUGUUCGUCAGCUGGUCGAAAGAUGGCCAAGUGAUUGCACCGACAACUGCAACGACGACGACUAGCGUCCGUUUGGUGAACGAAUUCACAGCCACGUUGACGAUUGAAUCGUUGACUGGACAACAUGGUGGAUGUGGUGGAAAUAUUUAUCAGGCUUUAGAGCAGCAUUAGCCUUUGCUAUAUCUCCACAUCAUGUAAAUGGAAAAUCUCUGGAACUUCUUGUUGAGAAAUGAAGCCAUUGUGCAUAUUGCAUCAACCAAGGGCGAAAUGUUACCACAUAUAGGCCAAUGUUACAACUCACUUAUGGUGAUUGUCCAUUCACAUGAAGUCUGUAUGUUGGUACAGUUUAUCAACAGGCAUAAGAGGAUGUUCAGGCAAUAAUUGUGGGAUAGUUUAGGUAGAUUCUUUGCUGCGUCAUAGCUCGGGAGUCGUAACGGGCAAUAUCCUUGUGCAUUAAGUUGGUGAACUCUUGUGUUCCAUUGGGAAAAUAUUUCAAAUUGAUUUAUUUGCAUGUUACGGAGUUUGGUUUUUUUUCUGAUCUGUGGAGCCUGACAUUUUCCACAAUUUCUAUCGGCGGACAAAAUGUCUUUUAGGAUUGGUAGCAGCUUACAAAGCAGUAGGUUCCAACAUCAUCUAACGUCUGCUUUAGUAAUGGCAGGGAUGUGAAUGAUAAUUUGUGAAAUCAAACAACUUAAGCAGGUGCCUAGCUCAACAACUCCUAUGAAAUCUAGAUUGGUGGUGGUAGUUCUAGGGCGCCUGUUCAGGCAACAGUUUCGUUUUUUAAUCCGCCAAGGAUUUAUGCGUUAUUGCGUCUACUGUGUAGCCUGAGUAGCAUACGCAAGGGGGCGUUUAUCUACAUUCCUGAUCACCAAGCAGUUACAAAUAUGUUCUACACUGAUAAGCAUCCGAGGCAAAGGGCGAGCUGAACUAGUCUAUUGCCCCUCAACUCCAGAGGGCACUAGUUUACAGCAACUCGGGCUCACCCUUUGGAGAGUGGAUUCUCAUUUCUUCUUCAUACCAGCGAGCAGAUUUGAGGUUUAAAAUUGUUUUAGGUUGUUAAGCAAGUCUGACUUUCUACGAUGUACAUGGCCGCCAAACUUUGUCGUUAUGUCUCACUGUUAAUCAGUAAGAAAAACGUCGAAUUAUUGACGAUACGUUUGUCAAAAUGGCAAAUACAACGCCUAACGAUUUAAAUCUAACUUGGGAUAAUCUACUUCUCGGACAAGGUACUUUGAGACCGGAUCUAAUUGAGUCCGCUUUCCAUAUGGCUUCUUCGCGCACGGUUGCCAUGAAGACUCGUCAUAACGAUUCCGAAAUGGUUCGUCAAUUUUGCAUUCACGGCCGUGUAGUAGAACCUAUUAAAGACUUCCUUAAAGAUGAAGUAAGAGCCUUAGGUCGUGAGCUGGGUUUGCCCGCACAAUUACUGGAACGUUACCCGUUUCCUGGUCCCGGCUUGUCAAUUUGAAUCAUUUACGCCGAAGAGCCCUUCUUGGAAGCUAAUUUCGAUGAGACGCAAGUGAUGAUUCGUUCGAUGGUCCAUUAUGCCAACAUAGCAGCCAAGGAACAUGCCUUGCUCAAUCGGAUUGAAAUCGUGACGUCGGAAGAAGAACGUCUUAUUCUGGGAGAACUGUCUAGUCGCAACCAGUAUGUUGCCACGCUACUGCCUAUUCGCACUGUCGGUGUUCAGGUACAGGAGGUUGCAGAAAAAUGUGUCGGGUAUGGCAAACAAAGCAUAGGGAAAACCGCCACAUUUUUCUGCAAUAUACUGUACAACAGAUUCGCAAUUUAGACGUUGUCGUAAUAAUGCCGCGAUCGUAAUCAGCUCUUAUUCAAGGUAGAUGAUAGGUGCCACCGUAUCUACGCCAAGGUUUUUUUUUCUCUUGUCUAGAUCUUUUAAUGGCCAGUGGGUCCUUGUGAUCAUGGCCAAUGGCUUGAGCCGGAUACCAACGACUAUGGCACCUGUCGCCCUUCGCCUUGCCCAGUAAGCAAAUGCAACGGUCGCCAGAUCUACUGGAAGUCAACACUAAAUUCUGAAGGUGGCUGUUAUAAAUCGUUCACACGUGGGCCUUGCAGGCGAAGUAGCUAUUUCCUCGUUGAAGAAUAUGGCACUCGAAGAGGUCGAUGUGUUUCUCAAUUUGGAUCAUCCUAUGAAUCCUAUGUCCUUCCGUCACGCUAUCCCAGGAUGAGAAACCCUUACGACAUCAUGUACUCCAACAACGCGAUGAGCCCAUGAUCGAAAUUUGGCAUGUAUCCGCCGUUUGGCAUGCAGGAAGAAUAGCGGAGACGACUAUCCUGACAUUCCCAGUUUCGAUUACUGAACUAGAAACAGUUUUACAGAACCAUUCACAUGGUUUUGUCUCUAUUAUUUCAUUUUAAAAAUGUGAUUGCAAAUUUUCUAUUGUGACGUAUGGCGGAUAAAAAACAACCUUGAUUAGUUUUAAUGCAUGAAUUCGUUAGCCAAUAAUAUGUGUAUGAAGAAAAUGUUUUCACUUUGAAACAGAGUCAUGGAACCCAUCGGUUUCCAUGACUCUGCUUUGAAAGUUUGAACAGGGAUUUCUGUUUUACCUUUCUGCGAUGCGGCAACACAGCAUUGCGAUCGUUUGACAACUCGCUGGUAUUGCAAUAGGUUAAUAGUUUUGUGUCAAGUAAAUUUCAAGUGCGAGUAACUGCUGGAAGAUUGCAAGCAAAAUCUGCAUGUGUCGUGUCAUUGUUCUAAGUGUUGGAGACUUUUUUCGUUUUGAUUAGGCAUUCAUGUUUGGGAACAAUACCUGAAGUUGGAUAUCGCCUAGUGAUAUUUACAUAUUAAGUCCUAUUUUAAGAGACUUGGGGCGAUACGUUUCGCAACAAAGAUCUAUACAGUACUCAAAAGAUGACCCACAAGCACUAUGCCACCACGAUUGAGACAAUGUAAAACACUAAACUAUAAAGCGCCAUUUAUCAAUAAUGAAUGAAUUUCCUCAUUCUAACAAUAAUUUAAGAAAAUGUAAAUGUAUACUUAGCUGUGGUAAUUAUUUCGUUUACAUCGACUACACUUCAAUAAUUUACAAGUGGGAAAGUGUUGCCUAUAAGCAACAAGAAGGUAUUGUGCAUGUUUAUGAGCGAAUCAUGGCUUAAUGGGUGAGUGUCGGAUUGUACCGCUGGAUGUUUGUGGAUCAAAUACCAUCAAAGGUAAAAAGUACAAAAUAUGUUUACUGAUUCACUUUAUUGACGUUAUCACCUUCAGUUUAGAAGCGUUUUAGUAAUUUACUUUGGGAUACUUUAAACUAUUAUUACAAGUGUGAACAAGUAACCUUUAUAAACUUACUCUUAAAUAAAAAACAAUUUUACUUACAGUUUUCUUCACCAUGACAUACUUGGAAUUUAUAUGCCAAUACGUGUAAUCCAUCAAGGACACUGAAUUUCACAACACCUGAAUGGGAUUCGAACCCAAUGUAUAGAGAAUUCCAGUCCACCGCUCUACCAUUGAGCUAUGAGACAUAUUACUGAGAAAUCUAAGUCUUCAACACAUUAAGGGGGGGUUGCCAGGAAGGUAUCGCAUCCGCCUAGCAGCUCCAAGGUCCGUGGUUCGAUUCCACGGAGGUUCCCGAUGUCCUGGGCUUCCAAUCUUCCACGUCUGCCAGUCGGGUCGAGAAACUUCCCCAUUACGAAGUAAUGGGACGGAUAUUUUGGCAAUGUUUAAUAUAAUAUCCAAUAAAAAAUCUUAAUAAAUUGUUCAUUAUGAUUUAUCCAUGCGAAUGCGUAUUUUGUUACUUGAAUACUUUACAACGUACUUUAGCAAUUGGCAUCCUCUGUCGAGAUAUCUCACACAUACUGCUUGAUCAAUAUUUUGUGUAUAUAAGAUUGUAACAUAUAGUCAAUCAACUGAAUCUUUUAAUCAUCGUAGUAUUUCUUUCGGCUCUUGUAGGAUUUGAACCCUUAAACUUUGGCGUUCCAUGCCGAUGCUCUACCACUGAGCCAUAAUUCACGUUAGUAAGUUUUCUAUAUUUUCGUGUUAAUUGAGUUCAACAAAUGUGGACUUAGAAUAAUAUUUGCAGCGAGAUUCAAGAUAACUUCUUAUUAACAUGUAAAUCCAUCUUAUAGAAACGCAAUGACAUUCACAUUAAAUUUAUUAACCUUCUGCCGGGAGUUGAACCCGAUACCUUUAGAUCCAUUAUCCAACGUUCUACCAAACAGCUAUGAUCCUUGAAUGCAAGUUAUUCAGGAUUGGAAUUUAAUCGGCGAUAAUUCAAGGACACUCCGGAAUUCUCAGUACAAAAACUGCACAUCAGUGGCCAUCUCAGCAAUGUUGAGAGUCCAAUCCUUAAAA